GAUGAACGCUGGCGGCGUGCCUAAUACAUGCAAGUCGAGCGAACAGACGAGGAGCUUGCUCCUCUGACGUUAGCGGCGGACGGGUGAGUAACACGUGGAUAACCUACCUAUAAGACUGGGAUAACUUCGGGAAACCGGAGCUAAUACCGGAUAAUAUAUUGAACCGCAUGGUUCAAUAGUGAAAGACGGUUUUGCUGUCACUUAUAGAUGGAUCCGCGCCGCAUUAGCUAGUUGGUAAGGUAACGGCUUACCAAGGCAACGAUGCGUAGCCGACCUGAGAGGGUGAUCCGCCACCCUGGAACUGAGACACGGUCCAGACUCCUACGGGAGGCAGCCGUAGGGAAUCUUCCGCAAUGGGCGAAAGCCUGACGGAGCAACGCCGCGUGAGUGAUGAAGGUCUUCGGAUCGUAAAACUCUGUUAUUAGGGAAGAACAAAUGUGUAAGUAACUAUGCACGUCUUGACGGUACCUAAUCAGAAAGCCACGGCUAACUACGUG
rnacentral:rRNA from 1 species